CCUUUUCAUGGUUUUUCCCUGCACCCACCUGGUGCCUCCAGUUUGGCACCUUCACUCACGGAGCAGAGUGCUCUCAGCUGGGUACAGUCCUGAGGCCCCUUGGAGAGCUAGAUACCAAAAAGCCCACGCUGUCCCAGGUCUUUUGCUGCCAUAUGUGAGUGCAUCUGAGGGCUUUAUUCACCCCUUGGUGGGUGCAGAGCUGGUCAGGGCAGCUGGCGAGCAAGGGAGCCCAGACCUCUGCAGGGCGGGCCUGGCAUCCCUCCCUUUCCUCCCCCCGGCUCCCCAGCCCUCUUCUCUCCCCUGCCCUCGCUUGUACCACCCAGCACAGAGUCAGUGGCUGGAACAGUCCUGGGGACCCCACAGAGAUCAGUCCUCACGGGUCCUUGAGGAUGCAAAGGCCCACUAAAUCUCAGUGCUGAGUGGGACCCCUGAGUUUAUUCCCCUCCUAUCCCGCCCCUCUACUCACACCUUCAUACAGGUAAGAGAACCAAGGUCCAAGGGAGUAGAACGCUUUGCCAGAUUUUUUCCCAAGGGUCAUCUCAUACUUUGGAGUGAGACCCACCUCUGGCAAAUCAGCAGCCUCCCUCUUGGUAGCCAUGGGGGUGACCCAGCACCCCAGGGCUGCAGGAAUGCCAAGCGGGACUCAGUACGGCAGUUCUCAAGGCGGGGGUGACGUUGCCACACUGCUGCUGAGCUCUAGAAGCCAGGGCCUUCACCCUGCAGUGCCAGCUCAUAGUAGGUGCUCAGCUAAUGCCCGAAUCAAAGCCGGCCACAGACACUAGCACAAAGUAGGUGUUUGUGCUUAGCGUGGGAGUGUACUGAAUCAGGUCUCUGUUGCCAGGAGGGAGCUAACAGGAGGCGCUGGGAGGACAUUUGUGGAAUGAAUAAAUAAAAGCGUGCUCUUUGAGGAAAUAAAGCAGCAGAGAAACUAAGAAGAAUCUGGAAAAGACGGACAUAAAUCUCCACCAAGCGCCGCCAAGUCUCUGCAGUUGAGGCCUCUGAAAAGACCCUGCAGAGGCAGGGGGGCCGUUUGUCACUGCGGGACAGACUUGAGGGCCAGGAAGCAAGGGCUUGAUGGAGCCUCAUUCAUCAUUUUCGCAUUAUUCCUGUGGUGGCGCUGGAGGGGAGCCCAUGUAUGUGCAGCCACACCGCCCACCUGGCGAGGCAGGUUGUACUGGACACUCGGCAGGUGCCCAGUGCAUGGACAUCCCACAGGCGGAGCCUUAUGUUGACCCCAGCCAGGAGUCAAGGACUGGGCCAGAGGCGUAUGCACCGAACACUUAGCCUGGAGAGAUGUGGCCUUUGAGCUGGUGAGCCUGGCCCAACCCUGGCGGCCUUCCUUGGGUCUGUGGCCAGCCUGCCUUUGCUCUGCUUUCUCUGAGAUCGCCUUGGAGUCUCAGCCCUUUCCUCUCCUGAUCCAGUCUCCUGCACCGUGGGCCCUGCUGUUGGAGAAGGCCAAGGGCACCCAUGGCCCAGCAGACGGAUGCACGGCUCCCUCACCUGCCCCGCCAGGGAAGUGGAGAGGAGACCCCUGCACCCUGCCCCCUCCCAACCGUUUGAAAGACCCUGACUGAGGACCAGCGGGCAAAUCCUGCAGCCAAACCAGACUAGUCUUCAUGUGGACUGUGGGGGAGGACUGGGUGGGCUCUGAGAGAAGUCCUGAGUGAGAGAAACUCAAAGCAAAUGACCCCAGAUGGUGGAGCUGGGGAGGUGAAAAUGCCGGUUAGAAGGACAUAGGAUGUCCUGCUCUUCCUUUUCAAACACUUAGAAUGUUGUCAGGCCAUUUGAGGUA